rnacentral:snoRNA from 1 species
AUCCCAUGAUGAGGACACCAUGAAGUAAUUCCUUGAUUCCUUCCCACGUCUCGUACAAGGAUUCGUCAUCCAAUUGUGAAAAAGUGGUUAUCUCAUUUUGCAACU